UUCUACUACGCAAAGAGCAAUUCUUUUUUUAGACAUGGCAUAUGCAGUUCGCAUAAUGAUUCUUAUGUGCUUGGCUCAUAUGCAGCAUGAUCAUUCAGUACAGAAAUGUGAAUGUUCUUUAUUAGGCUUUAGUUGCAUUUUUGUGCUCAUUAGCAGUUGUGACUGACAAUGGUGAAUGUGAUAAUUAAUCUUCCCUUGAGUGGUGGGUAAGAGUGGUAUUAUUUUCUUAACCAUUCACCAAUAAAAAAUAUAUAUAACGUUGCCCCUGAAACCAAGUUGCUACUAUCCAAGUUUAAUACGGAUGUAUCACCUUGUUUAUGUCUGUUCCUAUUGAUAAACUGCAUGUAAGUUAUUUCAGUAACCUACUUUCUCACAUUAGAAAUAGACUCAGACAAGCUGUUAAUUUGUAAACUUCUUUACUUUGUUGCAUAUAAAAGGUCCAUCAUUCGUUUUGGAGGGUGGUAAUUUUCUACACCUAAGUCCACAUCAUCUAUUUUUAUCUCAUGCGGAAACACUGCACCUUUUGUGCCCUCUCUCGAACAUAAUUGACUGAAGCUUUGGUAUAGCGUUUUACUUACAGUAUUUCUACUUUCCUUGUUUGCUUACAAGCUGUUUUUUCUUUUUGACUCUGAUGAAUCCCCCAGGCCAUUUUUAAGAACCCGUUCAGGAGGGGUGACAACCUCCUUGUUAUGUGCGACUGCUACACACCACAAGGUGUUCCAAUCCCCACCAACAAGAGGCACAAUGCUGCCAAGAUCUUCAACACCUCGAAGGUUGCAGCUGAGGAGAGAUGGUAUGGAAUUGAGCAGGAGUACACUCUCCUCCAGAAGGAUGUGAACUGGCCCCUUGGCUGGCCCGUUGGUGGCUACCCUGGUCCUCAGGCAAGAAAACUCUCAGCAUGCUCUCCAGCUUUCCGUGUGUUAAACUUACAUAAAAACUGAACAUUGCAUUUCACCAAGUGAAAUGCUCC